UACGAAGGGGGCUAGCGUUGCUCGGAAUGACUGGGCGUAAAGGGCGCGUAGGCGGUUUGGACAGUUGGGCGUGAAAUUCCCGGGCUUAACCUGGGGGCUGCGCUCAAUACAUCUAGACUUGAGUGAGGAAGAGGGUCGUGGAAUUCCCAGUGUAGAGGUGAAAUUCGUAGAUAUUCGCAAGAACACCGGUGGCGAAGGCGGCCAACUGGACCAUUACUGACGCUGAGGCGCGAAAGCGUGGGGAGCAAACAGG
rnacentral:rRNA from 1 species